GAUGAAGAACGUAGUGAAAUGCGAUACUUGGUGUGAAUUGCAGAAUCCCGUGAACCAUCGAGUCUUUGAACGCAAGUUGCGCCCGAAGCCAUUAGGCCGAGGGCACGCCUGCCUGGGCGUCACACGUCGUUGCCCCCCCAUCUACUCCUUCGGGAUUGCGGGGGGCGGAUGAUGGCCUCCCGUGCGCCUCGCCGUGCGGUUGGCAUAAAUGCCAAGUCCUCGGCGACGCACGCCACGACAAUCGGUGGUUGCGAAACCUCGGUUGCCCGUCGUGUGCGGUCGUCGCGCAUCGAGGGCUCGAAAAAAUUGCCGGGUUCCGGCUCGGCUUUCAACGCGACCCCAGGUCAGGCGGGGUUACCCGCUGAAUUUAAGCAUAUCAAUAAGCGGAGGA
rnacentral:misc_RNA from 1 species